GGGCACGUGGUGUAGUUGGUUAUCACGCUCGCUUAGCAUGUAAUUUGCGAGAGGGGUCCGGUUCGAUCCCGGACGUGUCCA
rnacentral:tRNA from 1 species